AUGACAUUUUUUUCCAAAAUUAGACCCAUUGGUGAAUCACUGAGUUCUCCAGGGUCCUCUUCAGACAGCCCCAGUUCCAGGCAGUUCCCUGUGGGCGGAGGGACAGUUGAGCUGCUGGAAGAAUCAAAGCUGAAGAAAGAGUUUCAAUGCCUGAUACCGUUCAAAUGUUCUGUGACCAAGUUUCUUUACCUGGGGACUCCCAUAACACGAAGAUUUGGGCAGCAGUUUAGGGGGCUGCUGUCCUGCUGCUGGGAUCCCGACUCGGCCACUUGCCGCCGUGUGGCCUCAGGCAAGCUACACAGCAAGUGUGUCCUGCUGUGCCUCAGUCUUCUCAUCUGGAAAAAGGGUGAUAGUAGCACCAGGUUCACAGAGGCUUGGAUGAGAUGAUACUUAGGACCUGCUACCUGAAAAUCGUACAACCAAUGGUAAUUACUAGAACCUGAGAGUGAUGCACUUGGAUUCAGCAAUUGUGAUACAAGUCUGAGCCCGUCUUCCUCACAUCCCCAGCCCUUGAGAGAGUGCGGGUCUCAGACGUGGUGGGUGGACGCUGAUGGCGCUUCUCUGCACACAGGGAAUCUGUUUUACAGCCAGCUUCUGCGGAUGGCUGAAACCAGUUUUCCAUUUCCCGAGGUGAUAGGAAGUCCCUUUAACCAGGAAGCCAUCUAAGUUUGAAGAAAUGACUGGUUUGGAAAAACAUAGAAGUGAAAGCGUGUGCAAGUCUGAUGGAUCUCAGAUGAGCUCAGUUUGGAAGCCCCCUUCUGCGAAUCUGUUCUCUGGGUCUACACCACAGAACGAGGACAGUUUCCACCCUCAAGGGGUGCGCAGAUCACAGCCAAGAUCAACACGGGUAACGGGACAGAAUGGAAUUAAAUAGCAAGUAAUGUGUUACAGAUCCCAAUUCUGUAAAAGUUCAAAGACAGCGGGGUGUGGGGGGAGGAGGGGAAGGGUGUCGGGAGAGAGGGGUUGGAGGAGGGACCAGUGGGGUUUCCCAUAGGGGCAUUAGGUGCACAGGAAAAGCGCAGGCUCAGCCUCGGGGGACAGAGGAGAGGAAGCGUGAUGGCAGGGGUGGAUUUUGAGGCUCUGGGGUAGAGCCCAGGUCAGUGUCAGUGGGGUUCAGGGGCUAUUAAGGAGCACGGUGACAAAUCAAGGGUAGGAAGUGGGGAGUUCUGCAUCAUUAAGCACCAGCUUCGCAGGAUAAAGCAGUCCUUACAGGAUUGUGUUUGGCAGCAGCACACAGGCCGUGUCUGAGGCUGAGGCCCAGCAGAGGAGGACGGGCCGGCUGGGGGGCAGAUGCCUCAUCCCAGUGUGUGCCAGGGAAGGGGUCAGGUGGGCAAGGGGGAGGAGGGGAGGAGGGAGAGAGGGGAGAGAAGGGCCAGGAGGAGGAGGA
rnacentral:lncRNA from 1 species